CGCACGGGUGAGUAACGCGUAGGUAAUCUACCCUAAUAUUUGGGAUAACAUUGGGAAACUGGUGCUAAUACCGAAUACCCUUCUUUUCUGUCGGGUUAAGGAGGAAAGGUGGCCUCUUCAUGAAAGCUACCGUAUAAGGAUGAGCCUGCGUACCAUUAGCUAGUAGGUGGGGUAAAGGCCCACCUAGGCUACGAUGGUUAGCGGGUCUGAGAGGAUGAUCCGCCACACUGGAACUGGAACACGGACCAG
rnacentral:rRNA from 1 species